rnacentral:rRNA from 1 species
GGCUCAGGAUGAACGCUGGCGGCGUGCCUAAUACAUGCAAGUCGAACGCACAGCGAAAGGUGCUUGCACCUUUCAAGUGAGUGGCGAAACGGGUGAGUAACACGUGGAUAACCUACCUCAAGGUUGGGGAUAACAUUUGGAAACAGAUGCUAAUACCGAAUAAAACUUCGUAUCGCAUGAUACAAGGUUAAAAGGCGCUACGGCGUCACCUAGAGAUGGAUCCGCGGUGCAUUAGUUAGUUGGUGGGGUAAAGGCCUACCAAGACAAUGAUGCAUAGCCGAGUUGAGAGACUGAUCGGCCACAUUGGGACUGAGACACGGCCCAAACUCCUACGGGAGGCUGCAGUAGGGAAUCUUCCACAAUGGGCGAAAGCCUGAUGGAGCAACGCCGCGUGUGUGAUGAAGGCUUUCGGGUCGUAAAGCACUGUUGUAUGGGAAGAACAGCUAGAGUAGGGAAUGACUUUAGUUUGACGGUACCAUACCAGAAAGGGACGGCUAAAUACGUG